rnacentral:lncRNA from 1 species
AUGAGAUAUAUGUUCUCAUUUAUUCCUCUAGAGAGUGAGAUUGCUGUAGGACCUGUCACCCAUAUCCCAGACCAUGGAGCACCAGGAGACAUGACAUCAGUGACUAGCAGCCUCUAUGAAUCCACAGUAGGUGCCAUUGCAGCAGGGAGCUCCUACUCCAAGACAUUCACCCUCAACUUUACCAUCACCAACAUGUUUUAUACACCAGACAUGGGUGAAAGGGGCUCCAACACAUUUAAGGCUGCUGAGAAUGUCCUGCAAGUUCUGCUGAAGUUCUUAUUUGGAAUGAGCAACCUUGGCUCUCACUAUUCUGCAUGCAGUGUGAACUUGCUGAGGUGAGAAUCCUGCAAGAUGUCCACUCAAAUAGCAAAGACCACGCUUUCCCAUUUGACUUAGAUUUUGUCCAGGCUGCUGCUGCUUCUCCUUCCCAAUAGCAAUUCCUUCUUUCCCACGAUGUAAUGGAUAAAAUUCCCCAACCAGCAAGCCAUUAGAAACAUUCUAGACAUCCUCCUAUCCUUUAUGUGGUGAAGAAAAACUUCUUUCCACAUAAGUCUUCCAAAUUUAAAACUCCAUGUGAGAAGGAAUAACAUGGCAGGCACCAAGUGAGUGGGUAGAAAUUGAUUGAUUCAAACACAUAUCAGCAUUGAUUUUCUCUAGAAUCGGAGGAUUAUAUUUUAAAAGUUGGAAGGGGCAGUAGAGGUCAUCUAGACCAUUCCCUUCAUUUACAGAUGAAAAAUGAAGAACCAAGGAUAGUUCAAUAACUUUUAUAAUGUCAAAGAUAAUUGCCCAAUUCCAAAUUUGAACACAGGCCCUUUGACUUUAAGUCCAAGUUCUUUCUACUACUCUAAGGAAACUACUGAAGAUAAU